AAUCCAUUGUAGCAAAUGCGAAUUCGAUCACCGCUAAUUUAAUUAAUUAGUUGUGCAGAGGGUUCGGGCCUGUGUGCACUAAUCUCUUGUUGUCUUCAUCAUAAAACUUGUCCGAAAUUGAAGUUGAAUUCGCUCUUGCUACUGCAUGGCCAUGAAACCGCGUUUUUCUCGCCGGGGACCACCGUGCGCCGCCGCCGCUGAUCUUCUGGGCGGAGGAUAGUAAACAGACACCUGAAAAUAACAAGAGGAAACCAAGAGAAUAAAAUGCUAUUCUUGAAGGAGAAGGCCAUCUUUUUCUCUUUGAUCUUUUCCCUCUUUCACCUUCCAUAAAAACUGUCGUCGUAAUUACGAAAAAGCCCCUACCCCUCCGAAUUUCUGAAACUUG
rnacentral:lncRNA from 1 species